UCCAGACUCCUACGGGAGGCAGCAGUGGGGGAUAUUGCACAAUGGGGGGAACCCUGAUGCAGCGACGCCGCGUGGGUGAAGGAGCGUUUCGGCGCGUAAAGCCCUCUCGGCAGGGAAGAAGGAGGACGGUACCUGACUAAGAAGCCCCGGCUAACUACGUGCCAGCAGCCGCGGUAAUACGUAGGGGGCAAGCGUUAUCCGGAUUUACUGGGUGUAAAGGGGGCGCAGACGGCAGCGCAAGCCAGGAGUGAAAGCCCGGGGCCCAACCCCGGGACUGCUCUUGGAACUGCGCGGCUGGAGUGCAGGAGGGGCAGGCGGAAUUCCUGGUGUAGCGGUGAAAUGCGUAGAUAUCAGGAGGAACACCGGUGGCGAAGGCGGCCUGCUGGACUGCGACUGACGUUGAGGCCCGAAAGCGUGGGGAGCAAACAGGAUUAGAUACCCGAGUAU
rnacentral:rRNA from 1 species